rnacentral:lncRNA from 10 species
CAGCAGGAUAUAAAUGCAUGCAUCUGGAGAAGAUGAACUUUUACACUAGUUCUGCCUUUUCAGCUUUCUAAAAUGUGGACCUUACCAAUUUCUUUGACCUCCCCCUCCUUUUUUUCCAUUCCAAUGCAUGGCGGUGACAAGGCAUUGAAUUACCAGUUUGUCACUAACGCCAUAGGCUUUAUUAUUCCUUUGAACAGAAGCUGGGCUUAAAAAGAAAAGUUUUUCUUAAUAAGUAGCUGUUCAUCCUUUGAUAUGCACAUCUGGAUCUGUGGUCUUAUCUGCGGCAUGCUAAUGCUGCUUCCUGUGUCAGUCACUCUCAUACUCAGCAGAAAUAUCCAAUAAGCUUUCGGAGGUCCAGGAAUGGGUCUCAAAGGAGCUUUCAAAGGGUCUCAAAGAUCUCAAAGUUUCUCUCAAAGGAGGAUUGAGGUGUAGAUGCUCACACAAAAAUUCUGUUCGGCAAAUUUCCAUAUGAUCCAAACAUAUCACUUGAAGCAAAUCAGUUCCAUGUGGCUGGGCAGGCCUCACAAUCAUGGCAGAAGGCAAAGGAGAAGCAAAGGCACAUCAUACAUGGUGGCAGGAAAGAGAGCUUGUGUAUGGGAACUCCCAUUUAUAAAACCAUGAGAUCUCGUGAGACUUAUUCACUAUCAUGAGAACAGUAUGGGGGAAAUCGCUGAUUCAGUUAUCUCCACCUGGCCCUGCUUUUGACACGUGGGGAUUGUUACAAUUCAAGGUGAGAUCUGGGGACACAGCCAAACCAUAUCACACAAUCAUGGCUCACUGCAGCCUUGAACUCCUGGGCUUAAGUGAUCCUCCCACCUCAGCCUCCCAGGUAGCUAGGACUACAGGCACACACCAUCAUGCCCGGCUAAUGUUUUGUAUUUUUUGUAGAGACAGGAUCUCACUAUGUUGCCCAGGCUGGUCUUGAAUUCCUGGACUCAAGCAAUCCUCCCAUCUAGGCCUCCCAAAGUGUUGAGAUUACAGGCAUGAGCCACUGUGCCUGGUCCACAUCUUCUUUCACAUCUUUUUCAUUCAGUGCUGAACUCCAAACCACAAACUUUGCACCUGCUGUUCUUUCUUUCUGGAACAGUCUUCCCCCAGGUAUCUGUAG